rnacentral:rRNA from 1 species
UACGUAGGGUGCGAGCGUUAAUCGGAAUUACUGGGCGUAAAGCGUGCGCAGGCGGGCUUUUAAGCCAGACGUGAAAUCCCCGGGCUUAACCUGGGAAUGGCGUUUGGGACUGGGAGUCUGGAGUACGGCAGAGGAGACUGGAAUUCCUGGUGUAGCAGUGAAAUGCGUAGAUAUCAGGAGGAACACCGAUGGCGAAGGCGAGUCCCUGGACAACUCCUGACACUGAGGCACGAAAGCUAGGGGAGCAAACAGG